GCCGAAGGUGGGGCUGAUGACUGGGGUGAAGUCGUAACAAGGUAUCCGUACCGGAAGGUGCGGAUGGAUCACCUCCUAACAGGGAGACAACACAAUGAUUUUGAUGUCUGAGUAUUUUAAUUCUUAGGCCGAAAUCCUGUCACCUUAGGUCGAUCGGUACCUCAAGUUGAGAAUCAAAGAAAAGCUGAGUAAUCAGCUUGGAGAUUGAUGAUUGAUUUUAGUUCCUAAACUUGUCUAGGUCACACCCCGCAAGGGUUACUCCUGGGCCAUUAGCUCAGGUGGUUAGAGCGCACCCCUGAUAAGGGUGAGGUCCCUGGUUCAAGUCCAGGAUGGCCCAUUCGGUGUUGGGGGUUUAGCUCAGUUGGUAGAGCGCCUGCUUUGCAAGCAGGAUGUCAGCGGUUCGAGUCCGCUAACCUCCACUGACGAAUCUUCUGACAACGAGCCAAUGGUGAGAAUCGUUGUGUGAUGUGAUUUAGAAUUUAAGUUUGCUGGCAGACCCUAGCUUCUUAUCAUUCCAGGUCUCAAUCAAUUGAGGUUAGGUUGAUAGGACGCUGGGCUCACUGUAAUUCGCAAGAAUUGCAGAGAUGUUCAGCAGAACCUUGACAACUGCAUAGGUAAGUCUGGAAAGAAUAAAGCAUCUCAUGGAUGCAUGAUUCUUGGGAAUCAGCUAAUGCAAUCUGCGUCAGUAGAGAGCUGAGGUUGAUGAACGAGAAUGAUGUUUGAUUCUUGAGUCAAGAGCCGAGACUCUAUAGCGUUCUUUCGAUGUCAUCGAGGCAUCGAGAGUUUGAUUGGUCAUUCAAACCAUCUUCAAUGACAAACAAUUCAGUUUAACUGGAGAAGUUUGAGAUUGAAGCCAGGUGAAUUGCUAAGAAUACGUAUUCAACUACGUGAAGCGUUAUAGAGAUUAAUUGGUCAAGCUACAAAGGGCUCAUG
rnacentral:misc_RNA from 1 species